rnacentral:rRNA from 1 species
CCUACGGGGGGCAGCAGUGAGGAAUAUUGGUCAAUGGCCGGAAGGCUGAACCAGCCAUGCCGCGUGAAGGUCAGUGCCCUAUGGGCGUUAAACUUCUUUUGUGCGGGAGCAAUAAUGGUCACGUGUGGCCAGACGAGAGUACCGUACGAAUAAGCAUCGGCUAACUCCGUGCCAGCAGCCGCGGUAAUACGGGGGAUGCAAGCGUUAUCCGGAUUUAUUGGGUUUAAAGGGUGCGUAGGCUGUGAGGUAAGUCAGCGGUGAAAUGCCCCCGCUCAACGGGGUGAAGUGCCAUUGAUACUGCCAUGCUGGAAUGCGGAUGCGGUGGGAGGAAUGUGUGGUGUAGCGGUGAAAUGCAUAGAUAUCACAAAGAACACCGAUUGCGAAGGCAUCUCACGAAUCCGCGAUUGACGCUGAUGCACGAAAGCGUGGGUAUCAAACAGGAUUAGAUACCCCGGUAGUC